CAGUGGCGUAUAUUAAAGUUGUUGCAGUUAAAAUGCUCGUAGUUGAAGUUCGGAUGCAGCAGAGCUUGGAAACGCUGUUAUGGUGCUUCCGUUGCUUUUGCUUGUCCACAGUGCGUUGCAAGUACGUAUGUGCUUGUGCGUGCAUUUUACUUUGAGAAACAUAGGGUGUUCCACGCAUGUUACGGCAUGAAUAUUCCAGCAUGGGAUAAUCUGGUACGACUUCCAAUCUGCCAUUUUGGUUCGUAGGUUGGAAGUAAUGAUUAAUAGGGACUGUCGGGGGCAUUGGUAUUUGACUGUCAGAGGUGAAAUUCUUAGAUUCGUUGAGGACCAACCACUGCGAAAGCAUUUGUCAAGGAUGUCUCCAUUAA
rnacentral:rRNA from 1 species